UACGGAGGAUGCGAGCGUUAUCCGGAUUUAUUGGGUUUAAAGGGUGCGUAGGCGGACUGUUAAGUCAGCGGUAAAAGCCCGGGGCUCAACCCCGGCGAGCCGUUGAAACUGGCUGUCUUGAGAUGUCGAGAGGUAUGCGGAAUGCGCAGUGUAGCGGUGAAAUGCUUAGAUAUUGCGCAGAACUCCGAUUGCGAAGGCAUCUCACGAAUCCGCGAUUGACGCUGAUGCACGAAAGCGUGGGUAUCAAACAGG
rnacentral:rRNA from 1 species